UACGUAGGGGGCAAGCGUUGUCCGGAUUUAUUGGGCGUAAAGAGCGUGUAGGCGGCCAUGCAGGUCAGCUGUGAAAACUCGAGGCUCAACCUCGAGACGUCGGUUGAAACCGUAUGGCUAGAGUCCGGAAGAGGAGUGUGGAAUUCCCGGUGUAGCGGUGAAAUGCGCAGAUAUCGGGAAGAACACCCGUGGCGAAGGCGGCACUCUGGGACGGUACUGGACGCUGAGA
rnacentral:rRNA from 1 species